UUAACCUUCAACCGAAAUAUAUAUACCAACCUUAUCCCUUACAACAUCCGAAGAAAUCAAAAGCCCUAAAUAUUCCUUCGGUUCCUCCUCUCCGCCUUCUCCUCAGCCCAUUCGAUCUUCCGUUAAAACUUUUUAAGAUGAAAUCAAUUCAACACUUCAUCCGUUACCCUAAAUCUUCCUUAGGUUCCGCCUUCUCUCCGCCUUCUCUCAGUUCUUACGUUACGACGUCCCACGGUCUUAAGCCAUAAAUUUCCAAAGAUGAUUGUUACUGCCCUAAUCAUAAUCUCUGCGCCUCCGCCAUCAUCUCCUCAGUUGUCUGAAUUUUGGCAUCGGUCAAGGAUUGUCCGAAUCAGGGCUUGCUUCAAUUCUUCAUAUUGCUCCUUUGUCAGUUUCAUCAGAAGAACACAUUCUAAUACAUGAGAGUAGAAACACCAAAUAUAAUCAGUUGAAUGUUGAUCAGAAGACAACUUACAUUCAGAAUGUCAUUGAUAAUAAUAGAAAGAGGAAAAGGAAUGAUUUUGCUGGCAGUAGUACCAAUAGCAAGGGAAAACGUAAGAUUGAUUUGUUUUGUGGAGCGCAACAACGAGAAUAUGAGCAUGGAGGAACAAUGUCAUCCAACAACGAAGCACCAAUUCCACACAUCCAAAUACGCCAACUAAAAAAAUUUCAAAGAGAGUGGACCAUUCAUGUUAUUAUCCUAAGAACUAUUGAGUCAUCUUAUGAGAACAACAAAGGAUCAGGAAAACUACUAAAAUUAAUUUUUGCCGACUGAGAGGUAAUGUAUCAAUAUUCUACAUGCUAUAAUUCUAUUGAUAAUUGUUGAUACUUAUUCUUAAAUAAAGUAAUACAUACAAUGUUUAAGUACAAUAUCCAUCACUUUUUAUCAUGCCAUAGCAAUCGUUAUUUUAAA